UUUUGCAUGCUUCCAAUCAGAUCAUUUCAGCAGUGUCUGUUCCUCUUCUCUCCAGUUGUGGAUAAGACUCACAUGGGAACAGAAGCUGCUGGCAGAUGAAGAUAGAUUUCGUCCAGCUUGUAAAAAGUUGGAUAAACCAUUGCCUGCAUCUUC